UCCAGAGGUAGUGGGUAGUGCCGUGAAUAACCACUGGUGACAUAUCUGCAUCUUCCUCUCUCUUCAUCAUUAUGGGCAUAAAGUUGUCAAUCUCACUCAUGUCCACAUUGCCCAUGUAGUUUCGACAUAUGAGCACCUUAGAGGUCCAGGAUGAAGAUCGCGGACGCUGCCAUUCUUAUCAGAGCUGUUGUGUGACCAGAAGUGACUGACAGGAGUCGAAGUUUUGCGAAUUUUGGUAAAGUUUGAUCAAGUAAAAUGAAGAGAGAUCUUCCCCAUCCCUUAUACGCGUGUCUUCCGGGUUUGGUGGCGUCUAACCGGUUGUGCAGCUCGAGCUUGUUGCAGUGCUGUAAACCGAGAGACAUGCGACGCUCAAAACUACAACGCUGCCGUUAUUAUUAGCCAAGCGAUCAUCGCUGUUUCGUCGCGUCGCUCUGUUGCAAUGUAAAAGCAGUGUAACUUAUCUUCAAAUACUUUCAGGUGACAAUCCUUUAUUAAAUAGUAGAUAAAAAUAAAUUAAUAAAAAUACUAACAGGCAUUCGUUUAAGAUGACGUGAAUGCAUGUAACGUUUAUGUAUUAAUAACAAAAAUAUGUUAUAAUAUCAAUAAUAACAUUUUAAUAUUUAAUUCUAGGCUAAGUAAUAAAGUACACAAAGGCGGCGCCCAGUGGCCAAUGAAAGAAUAGCAUUUAAAAAAAAAGUGAAUAAAAUGAAGUGCAACAAACAAAACAAAAUAUAUAUGGUACAGAAAAAUGCAAUUAAAAGUAAAUGUAAAUGCACAUUCUCGAAGGAAAAAUCCUUAAAAGUUAAUGAUUAUUAAUAUUAUCAUUUAAAAUAAAAAUUUAUAAUAACUCAUUAAUAAUGUUUACAAACAUUGUAUAAAAUGCUGAACAGAUCAAUAUUUUGUGUUGCCUACUGUACAUUCAAAUGUAAUUCAACUUUAAUUCAUAUAUUUUCAGAUGCUUUAAAAAAAAGUGGCCCUAGAAAAAAUUUGGACAGUUUUUUUGUUUUGUUUUGUUUUUUGUCUUAAGUGUUCAAAUUCCUUUUUUUUU